rnacentral:rRNA from 1 species
UACGUAGGGGGCGAGCGUUGUCCGGAGUUACUGGGCGUAAAGCGCACGCAGGCGGUCUGCUAAGUUUGGAGUGACAGUUGGUGGCUUAACUGCCAAAGUGCUUCGAAAACUGACAGACUUGAGGGCUUCAGAGGGACACGGAAUUCCGGGUGUAGUGGUGAAAUGCGUAGAGAUCCGGAGGAACACCAAAGGCGAAGGCAGUGUCCUGGGGAGUACCUGACGCUCAGGUGCGAAAGCCAGGGGAGCGAACGGG